GCAUCGAUGAAGAACGCAGCGAAAUGCGAUAAGUAGUGUGAAUUGCAGAAUUCAGUGAAUCAUCGAAUCUUUGAACGCACAUUGCGCCCCUUGGUAUUCCAUGGGGCAUGCCUGUUCGAGCGUCAUUUGUACCUUCAAGCUCUGCUUGGUGUUGGGUGUUUGUCUCGCCUCUGCGUGUAGACUCGCCUUAAAACAAUUGGCAGCCGGCGUAUUGAUUUCGGAGCGCAGUACAUCUCGCGCUUUGCACUCACAACGACGACGUCCAAAAGUACAUUUUUACACUCUUGACCUCGGAUCAGGUAGGGAUACCCGCUGAACUUAAGCAUAUCAAUAAGCGGAGGA
rnacentral:rRNA from 1 species